rnacentral:rRNA from 1 species
CCUACGGGGGGCUGCAGUGGGGAAUAUUGCACAAUGGGCGCAAGCCUGAUGCAGCCAUGCCGUGUGUGUGAAGAAGGCCUUCGGGUUGUAAAGCACUUUCAGCGGGGAGGAAGGCGGUGAGGUUAAUAACCUCAUCGAUUGACGUUACCCGCAGAAGAAGCACCGGCUAACUCCGUGCCAGCAGCCGCGGUAAUACGGAGGGUGCAAGCGUUAAUCGGAAUUACUGGGCGUAAAGCGCACGCAGGCGGUCUGUCAAGUCGGAUGUGAAAUCCCCGGGCUCAACCUGGGAACUGCAUUCGAAACUGGCAGGCUAGAGUCUUGUAGAGGGGGGUAGAAUUCCAGGUGUAGCGGUGAAAUGCGUAGAGAUCUGGAGGAAUACCGGUGGCGAAGGCGGCCCCCUGGACAAAGACUGACGCUCAGGUGCGAAAGCGUGGGGAGCAAACAGGAUUAGAUACCCGUGUAGUC